CAGUCAAGAGAGCUCCUGUCUUCUAGACUAGGUUUGAGAGAGGGUGGCAAAAGGCUGCGGGCUCCCAGGCCCCGGCCUUCACCCCCCGCCCAGGGCCCGACGACCGGAAACAGCUCUGGCCGUGGGAGCUUCGAAGGGUCAGCAGAAACUCACCCAAAGGGAAGCAGGAAGAAAGAAGGCCCGCAUUAUUCAAGGCCUUCGUGUGCCAGGAACCACGUUACGGUGGACCCCUCCAAAUAACAGACCCCCAGCGGCUCUCGUGGGUGGGCGCUGUUGUUAGCAAGUGAGGACCUGAAACAAACCCAAGGAAAGAGACAGUUUGGAACGACCGCCAUCGUCAGAGGGACAGAGGAGCAAGCAGUUAGGGAGGAGUAAAGCAGCCCUUAGGACCCAGUGGAGAUGGUAAACUUCUAUGGCUCCCUAUGGCCCCAAGGAUGAACCAGAACGACUCUGUCUGACAUUUCCAGCUCUUCCUAACUUGGUCCUUCUGGCAUCUCACCUUCUGAGCUGUUCCUCCCGUGGGAUCGGAUCCAGUUUCACUAGUGUUCUUGCUGUUCCUCCCACGUAAUGCUCCAUCUCCAGACUCCGGACCUUUAUACUGGCCGGACUCCCUGCCAGAACACCCUCCUUCCUCCCCUCUGCCUCCUGGUUUCCAUCAAGACUCAAUUCCGAGCCCACUUUCUGCCCAAAGCUUCCCUGUGUCCUGCUUCUCCUCCUCCUCCAGCUGCCUCCUGCAAGCUGCUUUCCUUUUACUGUGUAAAUACCUUGUACUUCCCCACUCCCCCCAUUAGACGGUGAGCACCUUGAAAACAGGGGCUGUUUUUGACUCUCUUGUAUCUCCAGAGUUCACACAAUUCCUGUUAUUCAGUAGGCGCCUAAUAAAAGCUUGUGGCCCGAAUGGUUGGUCUAAUCUCUUGGUUAUCAGUUUCCUCAUUUAUUAAAUGAAGAGCCUAAAUAAAGCUUUUCCCCAACCCCAAAUCUACACCCCCAGAGUAGACGUCAUCCUCCGACAUUGUCCUCUUCAAGGACAGGGGACCAUCAACAGGAGGACCCAGGAGAUUCUCCUCUCUCCCAAAACAAGAAAGAAAAGCAUCAAAAACCCCAAGUGGGCGAUUAGCAGGAGGCUGGAACCUGGGGGGGGGGAGGGGGGCUGCUCAGACAGAUUCCAGGCUGGGGGAACCUCUAGAGACGUUCACAUGUCAUUGGGGGCUUCCUCCUCCAUAACUCCUCGGGACCCAAUGAGAAUCUGCAGGGAAAGGUUCAUUGUGUAGUUAAGAGUUUGUCCCUGUAGAUCCGGUCACACCUGAGUUUCUUGCACGGAGCCGGACUUUUCAAACGUCUCCUUCCCUUGCUCCAUCUUUUCCCUGAGCCCGGCCACAGGGAAAUGGGGCUUCGUGUCUGCCUGCGGGCUUGGAUGAGAGUCCUCACGUGGCCCUGUCCGAGGGCCGCCAAGUCAACGUCGGGGAUCCAUCAUCAGUCCUGGGGGUCGUAGCCCAGUCAUUGGACGAAGGGUCGUCUUAUCUGACAGAUGUUAAAAGAGGAAGAGGGAGGGGACACGGGAGAGCCGAGGUUCGUAGAUAGCGAUUUUUUCCUGUCCUGCGGGACAGAGCAGGCCCAGAUUUGUACUUAGCGGACCAAGAACACGGCGACCCGAACCCGGGCCCUCAGUGGGUGAUAGCAGGUCAAGAUUAUGAGAGAGCUCAGGAACAAGAGAAAGCAGGCGGGGGCAGGGAGGAGUCACCCGUGGCCCAUUUGGGCCCGGUCGGGAUGAGUCACCUUCCUCAUGACACACGCC